rnacentral:sRNA from 1 species
GGAAAUUAAGAGCUAAUGCUUAAUUUAAAGUCGUUGAAUUUAAGCCUUCUUUUUGUUUUUGAACUCAAUCGAAUAAAUAGUUUUGGUAAUAAUCCAAUUGCUUUUUUACGCAUUUCAAUUUCUGUGGGAAUACUUUCGGUAAGAUCGUUACAUUUUUUUCAAAAGCAAAGAGGAUAUCGGCAAUCUUUUCUUGAAUUUCUAGAGGUGGGAAAGUAAGUUCAAUUUCUGCUAAUUUACUUAUUCCUAAUUUAGGAAUAGGGCAAGCAUAAUUAACAAACUUAGAUGUUUGCAAUCUGAGUGCAUAAGCUAAAAAUUUAGGAUUAAUUUCUUCGUUUUUUACUUUUAAAACGCCACAGUCUUGUCUUGCAUUAAACUGUCCUUUUCUAUAGAAUACAGCACCAGCAUAAGAACCUCCUGUAGUUCAAGUCACGUACUCGCCAUCUCGGUCACAAUCUUUAAUUUUGCCAACUUCACCAUCAUUUAAGGUUGAAGCUGAAUAAACCGGGUAUUAACCGAGAUUAUCCUUAAUAUAUUUUUUAGUAAUUGCACGACCCCUCGAGAUCUCGCAAAUAUCUUUGAUUUUGUAAGUUUUGAUUUGCACAACAGUAACAGUUUAAUUUCUUUUAAAAGU